AUGGCUCCUCCCCCCUCGCCGUGCCUCCUCUGCGCCUCCCUCCCGCGCCUCAUCUCCUCGCUCCUCGCCCUGCACCAGCGGGAGAUGAAGCGGCUGCUGGAGGGCGCCAUGGCAACGGUGGAGCGCCGGCUGAGCGCCCUGGAGGAGGCGGAGCCGGCGGCCGGUCCCAGCCAAUCGGGGAAGAGGAGGCGGCGGAGGGAGGAGAAGGAGACGAGGAGGAAACGCAGGAAGAACGGCCAAUCAGAGGAGAGCGCCGUCUCCGAGAGCCAAUCAGGGGAGAGCGCAUUCGCCGAGGGCCAAUCAGAGAAGAGCGUGUGUGCUGUCGUCAGGCGGAACGGGUUCUCGUCCCAUGAUCCUCUGGGGGCGACGGGGACGUGGCGUUUCUCAGACUCCGCCCCUCGCUCGUAUCGCCGUGGCGACGCGAGGGCGGCGCUGUCGUGGCUGCUGACGUCGCCCGGACACGCCCCCGUGCGGUUGCCUUGGCGCCUGUCGGUGGUCGCCGUGGAGACGUCGACGGGCGCCACCCUGAGCGGCGUCGGGCGGCUCCGGAGCGCCCCCUGCAGGACCACAGCGCACCACCGUACAUCGCCGUGGACCACAGUUACAUGUGUCUGUCUGCGCCCAGGUGAGUGUCCACAGGGGGCGCUGUCUCACAACAUCACUGUUUCUUUUAUUUUUCAUUUGUUUAUAACUCGCUCUGAUUGGCCGCAGCCUGGUGAUUUCCGCCCGGCGACAGCAGAGGCACAGAGCCAAUCACAGCGCUCGCCGACGGCCCCUCCCCCUGCCUCCCGUCCCGACCAAUGGGCUCACGGCGUCGCUCACAACGGCCCAAUCAGCCGCCGGCUCUGA
rnacentral:lncRNA from 1 species